rnacentral:rRNA from 1 species
AAUAUUGCACAAUGGAGGGAACUCUGAUGCAGCAACGCCGCUCGCUUGAAGAAGGUUUUCGGAUCGCACUACCCUCUCAUUCGGUCAGAAUAAAUGACGGUACCCAACUAGCAUGCCCCCGCUAACUCCGUGCUCGCAGCCGCGGUAAUACGUAGGGGGCGAGCGUUGUCCGGAAUUACUGGGCGUAAAGGGUACGUAGGCGGCUAUAUAAGUCAGGUGUGAAAUACCAGUGCUUAACACUGGAAUUGCAUUUGAAACUGUGUAGCUUGAGUGCAGGAGAGGAAAGUGGAAUUCCUAGUGUAGCGGUGAAAUGCGUAGAGAUUAGGAGGAACACCAGUGGCGAAGGCGACUUUCUGGACUGUAACUGACGCUGAGGUACGAAAGCGUGGGUAGCGAAC